CUCCAGAUAUAAACCCUCAAAACUAAAGUAUUAAAAGUUAUGGUCUCUAAAUUUUAAGGAUUUGGCGGUGAUCUAGCCCAGUUAGAGGAACCUGUUCGGUAAACGAUAAACCACGCAGAAUCUUACCUGUUUUUUUUAAAAUUUGUAUACCGUCAUUAUUAGAUAACUCUUAAAAGAUAAAGUUAUUUCAAUAAAUAAAAAUACUUCAUAUAUUAGAUCAAGGUGCAGUCUAUAUUCAGGUCAGAAUGGGUUACAAUAAAACUUAUUUAUUUUAUGAAAAAAAGAUUUAAACAUCUUUUCGAAGGAGGAUUUAAUAGUAAUUUCAGUUUAAUAAGCUGUAGUGAUAAAGGAUCUAGAUUGAGUACAUAUCGCCCGUCGCUUUCAUCUAAAAAUGAAAUAAGUCGUAACAUAG
rnacentral:rRNA from 1 species